rnacentral:misc_RNA from 1 species
UUAAGAGGCGGGUAAGAGGU